UUAGUACUCUCGAUCAUCUUCUUCUCCAAAUGAACUUCUCGAUCAACUUUCUCUCACAACCUUAGCUCACUCUGACUCACCCUAUCCUCACCCGACAGACUAAACCCAACCCUAACCUCUGCUUCACACCCAACGACGACGGUGGCCCUCGAGAGGUUCCGUAAUAUGCGCCUCACUGUGAAUUCUUUUUUCCACUGGAAUUUGUUUGCUAUAAAAAUGACCAGUCUAAAAUCCAUCGAAACCCCUUCGUUAUUAUGUCUAUUUGUGCAACUUAUUUGCUCUAAUUGGUUGCAUUAAUCAAGAACGCCACCUCUCUUCUGGCCUCACUCUCUGUCAUCUUCUCAUCUAUGUAAGUUAGUUGUGAGGGUUAAGAUUUUUAUGUUUUUUCCAAGUUAAGGUUAUCUCUAUAGGAUAUAACUCUGUGGUUUAUAUCUUGCUUGAUUUCUAGUUCACAUCUGGUGAAUAUUGUAUGAAAAUUCAUUUGUUUUCACAUAAUUUAAUAUUUCAAAAUGCCUAAUGCAUACAAAGCGUUUGAGAAAAUGUCUCAGAGUCUUUGUUAAUCUUUUCCUCUGUUUGUAAUUAUUAUUUCAAACCUAGAUAUUCAUCUAUUUAAAAUUUGUUCUCUUUCUAUAGUAAUAAUAUGGUCACUUCGUAUUGUUCAGGUAAGAAAUGAUUCAUUGCUUCUCUAUGCUUUCUUUUUCUAUAUGUUCACAAAAUUAAUGUAUCCAAACUUAUGCAAAGAAAACAAAAACAGUUUUCUCUCCCUCUGUCUGUAUAUAGUUUAAAUUUGGGUGUAUAAUUUAUGGCAUGGCUCGAUAUAAAUUUAAACAGUUUUCAGAUAAAUGUGUAUAAUGAAUUGAUUAUGAGCUUUUCCAAGUUGAAACAGAUGGAAAAGUGGGUGCAGGGAACUUCAGAAGCUCAUUCUAUGGAAACCUAAUGUGUAUUCAUCAAUUUGCAGCAGGAAAAAAUAUUCAGUUAUGGAAACUCUGUUGUGGUGGCCUCAGUGGUUAAAAACUUCACCCUCUUAUAGUUGAAACAUCAUUGUAUUUUAUGAAUCUUGGGCAUGCUUUAGUUUGUUAAUUAUAAAAUGUUUUAAUCGGCUGUGCUAUGUAUUAUUUUGUAUACUUAUGGCCUAUUUUGGGAGAUAUAGUUAAUUUUUCAGAGCAACUUUUUUGGUGUUCAUUUCAUGUUUGGCAGCUUGGAAGGAAGAAGACCAACACCAGUUAGACUCAUUUGAACUCAGGUAGCGGGAUUAACCACUCUGGGUUAAAAAGGCGUCAGAAAGUUCUUUCAGUAGUAUUUCUGCCAUGAAAUUUAGCUUAUUUCUCGGAUGAGGUGUGAGCUUAAAACUGAGGAAGGAGCGGAAAAAGCCGACUAGAUCCAAUGAUAGUCAUCAGGAUGGCCAAUCUUCCAGCACUGCAGCUUGGCUUCUACCUCCAGUUGCAAAUAUUCUCUUCAAAGAAGGCGUUACUCCAGCUACAGCUACGGCCAGGUAAUUGCCAAAGAUUUCAACCAUUUGGCAUUGACUUCAAGGUAAUGUAUUUAGUUAUAUAUGUUGUAAUGCCAAAAGUAUAAGAAAAUGUUAGCGUGUAUAUAAUUAAAUUUGACUGUUUAUAACCGUACAUUUGCAAAUACACAUUGUACAUAUGUAUAUGAUGUGUUACAAUUGCAAAGUUGAUUCACCUGCCAUUGUAUAUAUAAAAAAAGAACAUUUUCUUUUAGAUCAGCUGUUGUUUAUUACAUCAAAUCAAGUUUGGUCUUGGCUAGGCAAUUUGUUAAGUAAAAUUUUUACUUAACAAGUAUAAUAUUUAAGUAUUACCCUUUUAGUUAAAAAAAAUUCUUCUAAUCAUUUUAAGUAUUUAAAAAAAAACAUUUCAAUUACUAGGGACUCAAAUAUUUUUAUGUCAUGAGUACGCUCCCAUUUUGUCGGUUUUCAACUUUUCUUAGUUCAAAUGACAAGGAAUCUAUCACUAUUGAACCCAUAAAUUCUGGGAUUUUGAACGGAAGGAAUUGGUUUUCGAUUCCAUUACCGCACAGAACGAUUCAAAAUCCAUUUUACUUCUUGGGAUCCCCUGUUGUUAGGCAGGGUUAUUUGUGUCCUUAUUUUUCUAUUUUUGUCUAUGAUAUAUAUUAUUGAAAUUGUGUUACAUUAAGAACUAUUAUUGCAGCUUAUAUUGCUUGUUAAUCUAACUACAAUGAGUUCAGAUUAUGAUUGCGAGUAGGCAUUUGAGAGUAAUAUUGACAUGGAAUGGAAAUUAAUCAAUUUUUUUGGAUUUUAUGUUUCAAAAAAUUAGUUUCAAGGGGCUGGCCUUUUGAUUUACUAUUAAUUUUUAAAUUUCUUCAUGGUAUAGAUACAAUUGUUCCAGACAAUGACUUGAAAGUAGGUGAUGUUUGUGCCUUUGUUAUGACAAAGAACAUUGGAAUAAUCUUAUUCGAAGUGAUUAUUUUUCAUAACAAUGGAGUAGCAAACUCCCCUAUGGCUAUGCUAUCAAUUCCAGCUGCAAAUAAGAGAAGUUCAACUACACCAUCCAAGUCAAAGAUAACCCCUUGUGCGAAAAUUGAACCAUCUUUUACUAGUGAUUAUGAUAAAGCCAGCAUGAUUUCAGAGGACCUAAUUGCACAGAAAACAAUAGAUGAACCUUCAGUAAACUAGUGUGAUAAAGUGUGUGGAGAAUCUCUUGUACAUAAAAAAUUUAUAAGAAAUCAGGAGUUGAGUAGAAAAGGAAAGGCUGAAGCUUUCCAAAGAGCUAAAGAUUUUAAAUCUGAAGACCCCUUUUUUAUUGUUCCCAUGCAACCAUCAUUUGUUGGAUCCAAAUCUAAGUAUUGUAUUGGUAUGCCAUCUCCCUUUGCAAAAAAGUACCUUUCCGGGAUCAGUAGUACACCUCAACAUGUGAUCCUUACGGUUAAGGAUGUGAUUUUACUUCAAUGCAUAUGUUUAAUUUAUUGAUUUUUCAGAUGCUCAGAGGAUACUUUAAGAGUUUGAGGGGUGUGUGCUUCUAGCUUCUGAGUUUGGAGCCAGAUUAGGAUAGAGGCUUCACAUUCUUUUUUAUGUUUGUUUGCCUAAUUUAGUGUUGGUUUUGUUUUUUUUUUUGUUCAUUUAGUUGGGUUUGUAUUGGGGUAACUUUUUUCUGUUUUUCAUGUUGGCAACUCUGAUUCAUUGAGUUUGUUGUUGUAGUUCAUAGACAAUACAAUUCAAGCAAGGAUUAUGUAAUUGAAUUUUUUAUGAUUGCCAUUGUAA